CUCGAAGGACGAACGCUGGCGGCGUGCCUAACACAUGCAAGUCGAGCGGGGUCCAUCCGGUAGCAAUACCGGGGAAGACCUAGCGGCGAACGGGUGAGUAACACGUGAGAAACCUGCCCCGAAGUCUGGGAUAACCCGAGGAAACUCGAGCUAAUACCGGAUGUCUUCUUCUGAUCGCAUGGUCGGAUGAAGAAAGAUUUAUCGCUUCGGGAGGGUCUCGCGGCCUAUCAGCUAGUUGGCGGGGUAACGGCCCACCAAAGGCGUCGACGGGUAGCUGGUCUGAGAGGACGAUCAGCCACACUGGGACUGAGACACGGCCCAGACUCCUACGGGAGGCAGCAGUGGGGAAUAUUGCGCAAUGGGCGAAAGCCUGACGCAGCAACGCCGCGUGCGGGAUGAAGGCCUUCGGGUUGUAAACCGCUUUCAGUGGGGACGAAUUCAGACGGUACCCACAGAAGAAGCCCCGGCCAACUACGUG
rnacentral:rRNA from 1 species